rnacentral:rRNA from 1 species
AUUGAACGCUGGCGGCAUGCCUUACACAUGCAAGUCGAACGGUAACAGGUCUUCGGAUGCUGACGAGUGGCGAACGGGUGAGUAAUACAUCGGAACGUGCCCGAUCGUGGGGGAUAACGGAGCGAAAGCUUUGCUAAUACCGCAUACGAUCUACGGAUGAAAGCAGGGGACCGCAAGGCCUUGCGCGGACGGAGCGGCCGAUGGCAGAUUAGGUAGUGGGUGGGAUAAAAGCUUACCAAGCCGACGAUCUGUAGCUGGUCUGAGAGGACGACCAGCCACACUGGGACGGAGACACGGCCCAGACUCCUACGGGAGGCAGCAGUGGGGAAUUUUGGACAAUGGGCGAAAGCCUGAUCCAGCCAUGCCGCGUGCAGGAUGAAGGCCUUCGGGUUGUAAACUGCUUUUGUACGGAACGAAAAGCCUCUUUCUAAUAAAGAGAGGUCAUGACGGUACCGUAAGAAUAAGCACCGGCUAACUACGUGCCAGCCGCCGCAGUAAAAC